rnacentral:rRNA from 1 species
GGCUCAGGACGAACGCUGGCGGCGCGCCUAACACAUGCAAGUCGAACGGCACCCACCUCCGGGUGGAAGCGAGUGGCGAACGGCUGAGUAACACGUGGAGAACCUGCCCCCUCCCCCGGGAUAGCCGCCCGAAAGGACGGGUAAUACCGGAUACCCCCGGGCGCCGCAUGGCGCCCGGGCUAAAGCCCCGACGGGAGGGGAUGGCUCCGCGGCCCAUCAGGUAGACGGCGGGGUGACGGCCCACCGUGCCGACAACGGGUAGCCGGGUUGAGAGACCGACCGGCCAGAUUGGGACUGAGACACGGCCCAGACUCCUACGGGAGGCAGCAGUAGG